AGUGAACGCUGGUGGUAGGCCUAACACAUGCAAGUCGAACGGCAGCACAGUAAGAGCUUGCUCUUACGGGUGGCGAGUGGCGGACGGGCGAGGAAUACAUCGGAAUCUACUUUUUCGUGGGGGAUAACGUAGGGAAACUUACGCUAAUACCGCAUACGACCUACGGGUGAAAGCAGGGGAUCUUCGGACCUUGCGCGAUUGAAUGAGCCGAUGUCGGAUUAGCUAGUUGGCGGGGUAAAGGCCCACCAAGGCGACGAUCCGUAGCUGGUCUGAGAGGAUGAUCAGCCACACUGGAACUGAGACACGGUCCAGACUCCUACGGGAGGCAGCAGUGGGGAAUAUUGGACAAUGGGCGCAAGCCUGAUCCAGCCAUACCGCGUGGGUGAAGAAGGCCUUCGGGUUGUAAAGCCCUUUUGUUGGGAAAGAAAAGCAGCAGGUUAAUACCCCGCUGUUCUGACGGUACCCAAAGAAUAAGCACCGGCUAACUUCGUG
rnacentral:rRNA from 1 species